CUGAGCUGUUCCUUAAUUAGAAAGCCUGGCACAGAAUGAAGAAUGCAUUCCUCAAACUGAGUCAGGGUGCAGGGAUCCACAUGACCGUGCUCCUCUUAUCCUUAGGAAGGGACAAGAGACUUCUAUCCUUUGGCCUGCAGCUGCUGAAAUGACCCUUGCAAGUACUGAAUCAUCUUUAAUGAAAAAACACACUAAUAUGCUGCAAAUUUGGAGCUUAUCCUUUCAGCCCAAUCCAUGGGGAAGGUGUGAAUUAAAGACCCUGUGCGUGUGCUGGAGGCAUCGUGGACUUUUGUUCUGACUAAAAAUGAUCUUUUCUUCUAACCUGAAAUCUCCUGAGGGAUGAAACUUUGUGUCUCUUUGGUUUAUCCCAGCAUAUAAAUAGUUACACAUUUUUGAAUUAACAAAUGAGCACAAAUUUGUAUCAAAUUAUUAUCUAGGACAAGCAGUGGAAAAAAAUUCUGUAAAAGGCCGGAUAACUGUUUUAAGCUUUACGGGCCAUGCAGUUUCUGUUGCAAUUACCAACUCUGCUGUUGAAGGGUGAAGACGUGCGUAGGUAAUAUAUAAAGGAAUGAGCAUGUCUGGAUGUUCCAAUAAAAUUUUAUUUUCAAAAAUAAGCAGCAGAGGAGAGCUUCUGGAAUGGUGGUGUGAGGAGCUGGCAGGCCCUCUAUCCAAGGAAAUAACCAUUUAACCGCCGAACAUUCAUUUUUUUAAAACUAGAAAUUAUCCUAAAGGCAUACAGCAGGUGGAUAAAUAUUUACUCAAAUAAAUAAUCAAAUCUCAGUAAGAACGGUAAG
rnacentral:lncRNA from 1 species